CGGCCGUGAAACGCCCCAGCGCCGAUGGUACUUCGUCUUAAGACGCGGGAGAGUAGGUCGCUGCCAGGU
rnacentral:rRNA from 1 species